rnacentral:rRNA from 1 species
UACGGGGGGAGCAAGCGUUGUUCGGAUUUACUGGGCGUAAAGGGCGCGUAGGCGGUCAGCACAAGUCAGUUGUGAAAUCUCCGGGCUUAACUCGGAAAGGUCAACUGAUACUGUGCGACUAGAGUGCGGAAGGGGCAACUGGAAUUCUCGGUGUAGCGGUGAAAUGCGUAGAUAUCGGGAGGAACACCAGUGGCGAAGGCGGCGACCUGGGCCAAUACUGACGCUGAGGUGCGAAAGCGUGGGGAGCGAACAGG